UACGUAGGGACCAAGCGUUGUUCGGAUUUACUGGGCGUAAAGGGCGCGUAGGCGGCGUGUUAAGUCACUUGUGAAAUCUCUAAGCUUAACUUAGAACGGUCAAGUGAUACUGAUGUGCUAGAGUGCAGAAGGGGCAACCGGAAUUCUUGGUGUAGCGGUGAAAUGCGUAGAUAUCAAGAGGAACACCUGAGGUGAAGACGGGUUGCUGGGCCGACACUGACGCUGAGUGCGCGAAAGCCAGGGGAGCAAACGGG
rnacentral:rRNA from 1 species